rnacentral:lncRNA from 1 species
CCCGACUUUAUGAGCAAGUGAUCUGCAAACAGUCCUGUCACAAUUUCAUAAUUUAGUUUUUAAAAAAUUUCAAAAUUCUCCGUCAUAUCAAAUCUUACAGCGUAUAUAUGAAGUAUUAAAAAUAAACAAAAACAAAAAUUAAUUACAUAGUUUGCCUAUAAUUUACGAGACAGAUCUUUUGAGCCUAGUUAGUCUAUAAUUGGACAAUAAUUAAUAAAUAUAAACGAAAGUGCUCAGUACCAAAAAUUCAAAAAUUUUGCCAACUCAACAAGGCCUUUGUUGAGGCAAAAGUUGCGUCUAACGCACAACCAUGCCCGCACGCUCAGCGCCUAGCCACGUCCUCUUCCUCUUCCUUCGUUCCCCACUCUCUCUCUCUCUCUAUCUCUCUCUUUCUCAUAUCUAUGGCUGCCAACUCUAGCAAACUCCUUCCAGGCGGUCACGCCCGUGCCCACACAAAGCCUGCACCUGUGCCUCCACUAGAGUCC